rnacentral:rRNA from 1 species
GAAUUUUGGACAAUGGGCGAAAGCCUGAUCCAGCAAUGCCGCGUGUAGGAUGAAGGCCUUCGGGUUGUACAGUGCUUUUGUGCGGAACGAAAAGCUUUGGGUUAAUACCCUGGAGUCAUGACGGUACCGAAGGAAUAAGCACGUGCUAACUACGUGCUACGUGCCUCGGUAAUACGUAGGGUGCAGCCGUUAACCGGAAUUACUGGCCGUAAAGCGUGCGCAGGCGGUUGUGUAAGACAGAGGUGAAAUCCCCGGGCUCAACCUGGGAACUGCCUUUGUGACUGCAAGGCUAGAGUACGGCAGAGGGGGGUGGAAUUCCGCGUGUAGCAGUGAAAUGCGUAGAUAUGCGGAGGAACACCGAUGGCGAAGGCAACCCCCUGGGCCUGUACUGACGCUCAUGCACGAAAGCGUGGGGAGCAAACA